CAUAUUUGAAUAGAUCUGGUCAUUAGCUACCAAAAGUUAUUCUACGCCGAUGUGCUAAGUUGUCUGUGGAAAAAGUUAUUCGAGGUACAAAGACUUAACAUUUUCUCAACUUUUCCAAAAAAAUUCCUCAUUUUGCCACUUUGGAUGCUUAUUACUCGGUCAGUUUCCAAUGGAUCUUCAAUUGUAGCACAUAUUUAGAUAGAUCUGGUCAUUAGCUACCAAAAGUUAUUCUACGCCGAUGUGCUAAGUUGUCUGUGGAAAAAGUUAUUCGAGGUACAAAGACUUAACAUUUUCUCAACUUUUCCAAAAAAAAUCCUCAUUUUGCCACUUUGGAUGCUUAUAACUCGGUCAGUUUCCAAUGGAUCUUCAAUUGUAGCACAUAUUUGGAUAGAUCUGGUCAUUAGCUACCAAAAGUUAUUCUACGCCGAUGUGCUAAGUUGUCUGUGGAAAAAGUUAUUCGAGGUACAAAGACUUAACAUUUUCUCAACUUUUCCAAAAAAAAAUUCCUCAUUUUGCCACUUUGGAUGCUUAUAACUCGGUCAGUUUCCAAUGGAUCUUCAAUUGUAACACAGAUUUGGAAAGAUCUGCUCAUCAGCUACCAAAAGUUAUUCUACGCCGAUGUGCUAAGUUGUCUGUGGAAAAAGUUAUUCGAGGUACAAAGACUUAACAUUUUCUCAACUUUUCCAAAAAAAUUCCUCAUUUUGCCACUUUGGAUGCUUAUAACUCGGUCAGUUUCCAAUGGAUCUUCAAUUGUAGCACAUAUUUGGAUAGAUCUGGUCAUUAGCUACCAAAAGUUAUUCUACGCCGAUGUGCUAAGUUGUCUGUGGAAAAAGUUAUUAGAGGUACAAAGACUUAAAAUUUUCUGAAUUUUUCCUAAAAAAUUCCUCAUUUUGCCACUUUGGAUGCUUAUAACUCGGUCAGUUUCCAAUGGAUCUUCAAUUGUAGCACAUAUUUGAAUAGAUCUGGUCAUUAGCUACCAAAAGUUAUUCUACGCCGAUGUGCUAAGUUGUCUGUGGAAAAAGUUAUUCGAGGUACAAAGACUUAACAUUUUCUCAACUUUUCCAAAAAAAUUCCUCAUUUUGCCACUUUGGAUGCUUAUAACUCGGUCAGUUUCCAAUGGAUCUUCAAUUGUAGCACAUAUUUAGAUAGAUCUGGUCAUUAGCUACCAAAAGUUAUUCUACGCCGAUGUGCUAAGUUGUUUGUGGAAAAAGUUAUUCGAGGUACAAAGACUUAACAUUUUCUCAACUUUUCCAAAAAAAAUUCCUCAUUUUGCCACUUUGGAUGCUUAUAACUCGGUCAGUUUCCAAUGGAUCUUCAAUUGUAGCACAUAUUUAGAUAGAUCUGGUCAUUAGCUACCAAAAGUUAUUCUACGCCGAUGUGCUAAGUUGUUUGUGGAAAAAGUUAUUCGAGGUACAAAGACUUAACAUUUUCUCAAUUUUUCUAAAAAAAUUCCUCAUUUUGCCACUUUGGAUGCUUAUAACUCGGUCAGUUUCCAAUGGAUCUUCAAUUGUAGCACAUAUUUGGAUAGAUCUGGUCAUUAGCUACCAAAAGUUAUUCUACGCCGAUGUGCUAAGUUGUCUGCGGAAAAAGUUAU